rfam:Pan troglodytes isolate Yerkes chimp pedigree #C0471 (Clint) chromosome 3, whole genome shotgun sequence.
ACAUAGGUUCUUAUGAGAACCACACAGAUACAUAUAAGGAGCCCA